rnacentral:misc_RNA from 1 species
GAGGAGAUCCUGUCGACGUGCUCGUCUCUGCCUCGGCGUAUCUGCGCGGGCCACCGAGAGGUUCUUCCUUUGUGGCCGUCGCGCACACUUCGCCGUGCUCUUGCGGCAGCGCUGAAUGCUUCGCUUUUUUUCUGCAGUUGAUGGUGUCGCAGCCGGUAAGCGUGAUACUCGCCCACACCCGUAUAUAUACGCCAAUGGACGGCAACAUCAUCCGCCCCGUUUGCGACGAAGACUCCGUCACGGAUGCCAUGCUGGAGGAGUUCCUGCGGCCACCGUCAUCGUUCGCCUUGACAGACACCGCGGGCGAUAUGCUGACUGCCUCUACCCUUGGCAGCGCGGCGCGGGGACCGGCUCCCUGCACCCCUGCAGCGGCCUGCACGUCCGCGUUGGGGGCUGGCUCCUCGUCAACCUUCAAAAGCUCGCACGAUAGCGAGGUUAACCAAAUCGGCGUGGGGGCCUUCGAGGGAAGUGUUGUGCACUGUGCAAGUCAUCUCGUCGGCGCCAGCCCUGCACUGCCUGCGGAACUGUCGCACUCGGAUAUCACGAGCGACGACAGCGGCGACUUUGCCUUUCUCACGAGCAAUGUGCGCGAUGCCGACGUGUACGACCUCAUUCGUCACUACAUGUUGUAUUGCAAGCAGCAGGAGAAGGAGCUGGAGGAUCUGGAGGCGGAAUGCGCACGGCUGGAGGCGGAGCAACAGCACCUCUACGGCGCCGCUAUUGCGGCUGACAUGACUCGAAAAUCUUUGCACAUGUCGGCUGCCAACUCUCUGUCUCCGCCGAAUUCGAACGAAAUUGCGGCAACAGGAGCCGGCGGCGUCUCCUCGUCAGCCGCUGUCGACGAGUUCGGCGAGGCUCACAUCGACCCGCUGAAGUCGUGCCCUUACUUGGAUCCACACGACGCCGCUCACAACCCGCAGCCGUAUCGCUACGGACAGCCCGCCAUCAAUGGCUUCUACACCCCGGCUUUCAAGAAUGGCAUUCUCUACCGCUGCGUUGCGGCCGAGGGGUCGUGGAUAUUCUACAACGACUCGGAGCAGUACGCGAUGCACAUAAAAUAUAUCUUCGGCGCCUCAUCCGUCAUUACGGCCGGCCCGCACGCCUCUGUGAACCAGCGGGUGUCCGGCGAGUAUGAGGUGCAAGUGACAGUCUGGCCACAGGAGACGGAGGUGCUGCUUGUAGGUCAAGUAAACGGCUUCAAGAAUCUCUCUUCCGCCGUGCCGGUGAAUUCCAGCUAUACGAAUCCACACGCCAGUGCCUCAACCGCAUCUGCGCGCGCUCUGCUGAAUCGCUUCGCCCACCAGUCGGGAAAGCCGAAUAUCUCGCUGCUCUCCACGGAGGACGUGCUGGAGUGUUGUGCGGGCCAAGGCAGCGAGUUGGCUGCCGCUGUCGGGUCUUUGAAUGGGCAACAUUUUGUCGACCCCGACUUUCCGCCCUGUGGCACAUCGCUUUACCGCAAAGGUGUCGAUGACGUCUUCCUCUGGGAUAUGUCCUGGCGGCGCCCCUGCGAGUACCUGCCCGCCUCACAGCGCUCGGAAGCGUGCCUCUUCGCUCGCUCGGUGCUUCCGACAGACCCGUGUGCGGGGGAAGGCGGUGCGGUGUACCUGUGCAGUGCCGCCUGCUGUCUCGCUGAGCACCCCACGCAGGUCGCUCGAAUUUUUCGGCACCCCGUCUCUGCGGAUGCCGGCAUCUGCGAGCGCGCUGUCGGGGCAUACCGCGUCGCACUGAGCCACGGCGGCUGGUGGACGCCCACCGUCGUCGAUAGUUACUUGCCAGCCUCGCUCAAGGGCCCGAACCUGGGCCGCUGCUCUCACGACUUGCGCAAGCUCUGGUAUCCGCUGCUCGAAAAGGCGUACGCGAAGCUGCACGGUUCCUACGCUGCCAUCCAAUGCGGUAGCGCGCUCGAGGCGCUGCAGGAUCUCACCGGAUUUCCGACGUUUCACUUCUAUGAUGAGUGGGCGGAGGCGGUGCGGAGCAGUGCCGGCGCGCGCGCGAGCGAACGCACCUCCUACAGCCCACUGUCCGAGCACCUGUUCACCUCUCUGGAGGAGAAGGUGCAUCAACGCGGCUAUCUCGUGUUCCUGAGCCUGCCGGACGACGGGCCGGCCGAGGCCCAGGCAGCGCAAAUUGGCAUGAUGUUCGGCAUGUCGUACGCGGUUCUGCGGCUCGUUCGGCACGGCAGUUUUCGGCUUCUUCAAAUUCGGUGCCCCACCUUGAAGCUCUGUAGCAGCCGGCUGUGGUGUGCUGGGAGCGCACGGUGGCAGCAGGAGCCGCAGCUAGCCCGCUUGUGCGGGAUGGAUAGUGAUGGCGGGCCGGAGCUCGCGAGUUUGUGGUUGGACUGGUCUGAGGCUCUAGCUAUGUUUGAGGGGGGCGGUGUGUGCUGUAGUCGUUGGGACUGGGCACAUGACUGCCGCGUGCGAGGUUUCUUCAAAGACGGGAUACCCUCUUUCGUCUUGGAGGUGAGCGUCGACACCUCUGCAGAGAGCGCAGGUCCCGUGGAAGCGUACUGCAUCUUGUCCCAGGAGGACGAUCGCGGUAUGUCUCCAGAUCACCCGAACCGAGCGCUGCGCCCACUGAUGCUCUCUGUCAGCAGCCGUUGCGGCGACGAUGAGGCGGGCGAGGGUGUCGGCGGGGAGUCCUCGGCUGAUCAGCGCAUUCGGCAUGUGUGCUCCACGGACCCAGACACCCCCACAGAGCACCUGAACUACGUCUUAGCCCGCGAUACGGCGCUCCGUGUCACCUUGCAGCCCUCGGAGCACCCGUACUACGUCAUCCCCCGCUCACGGGGGGAUAUGCGCAACAAGCUCUUCACACUGGGCUUUGUCUCCUCCACAGCGCCGACAAAAACGGGAAAGCUGCGGAUGCGGGCGGUGCAGCUCCCGUCUAACUCUGCGGUGUUUCACAACCGACGCAGCUUCUCGACUCGGCAACUCGAGAGCGUGGCGGCGGUGUCGUUUCAGAUUCGCGGGCCGGACGGGGUUGCACGCGUAGGGUGCGGCAGCAGCAUUGGCUGAGGCGCUAGAGGUGCAGAGGUUUGCACGAAGGCGCCGCUCUUCUUCCUUUGCUGUCGGCUGUUCGCUAACCUGUGAAGUAUGUUUUGUUGCUGCCAUGCUCUCUCGCUUCUGCACGAACGAUGUACGUACACUGUGCGGGGACACGCACACGCGAAUCGGCUGGAACGCCGCCAUGUAUGAAGCUCUGUAAAAUCGCUGCUGUUUAUCAUUUCUUUUUUUUUUUCACUCUGUCGCUCAG